UACGUAGGGUGCAAGCGUUAAUCGGAAUUACUGGGCGUAAAGCGUGCGCAGGCGGUUGUGCAAGACCGAUGUGAAAUCCCCGGGCUUAACCUGGGAAUGGCAUUGGUGACUGCACGGCUAGAGUGUGUCAGAGGGGGGUAGAAUUCCACGUGUAGCAGUGAAAUGCGUAGAGAUGUGGAGGAAUACCGAUGGCGAAGGCAGCCCCCUGGGACU
rnacentral:rRNA from 1 species